ACAUACUUCUUUAUAUCCCCAUA
rnacentral:miRNA from 13 species